CCGACAACACCGUGGGCCAGCCACACAGGCCAUGGCAGACACAGAUACUAGGGAUCUUUGAGGGUCCUCAGCAAGAGCCAACACCCCAAAUCCAGCUUGGAGGAUCCAGAGACCUCAGAGCAGUUUGAGGGGGUUAAGUUCUCAGAGGUCAGGAGGGAAGAACCGCAAUCUCCAGCCAAUUCAGGGCACUCUGAACUUACCGAGCUCCUUUGCACCAGUCAUCUGGUCCCGUUUGACUCACGAGCUUUGUGCAGCUAACUUCCUUCACCAGCUCCAUGAAGAAGAGUUUCCAUUUCUAAGGCCUCAUGUUGGGAGCCCACCUGUAUCACUGCCUCCUGAAAUUGGACACAAGUGUUUCAUUGGACUAAACGACUCCCUAAACUGAGAGACUGGUUUAGUGAGAUGGAGCAAUCAACCAACCCAACGUCUGGAAUGUGAAACUUCUCAUGAAAUUUCAACAGUGGGACUGAAGGGGUUCAGAACAGGCCUCCCCGGGAUGUGUCACUUUGGCAUGUGAACUAUUUUUAGUUAAGACCAGCCAUAAGGACCCAGAAGAGUACAGGAAAACUUCAUCAUCCCAUACAGCUGGUAUAGUCGGCAGGAUAAACUUCCCUGGCUGGAUUCCACUCCCUCCAAAGCUGCUGCAGCUGACAGAUCCUGAGACAUCUGACAAGUGAUGGCAUAAGGCCUCAUGUUGGGAGCCCACCUGCAUCACUGCCUCCUGAAAUUGGACACAAGUGUUUAAUUGGACUAAACGCCCCCCUAAACUGAGAGACUGGUUCAGUGAGAUGGAGCAAUCCACCAACCCCACUUGUAGAAUGUGAAACUUCUCAUGAAAUUUCAACAGUGGGACUGAAGGGGUUCAGAACAGGCCUCCCCCGGAUGCGUCACUUUGGCAUGUGGAACGUUUUGAGCUAAAGAUCAGCCAGAAGAAUCCAGAAGGGUACAGGAAAAUUCCUUCUUCCUCCACAAAGAUAU